AGUGAACGCUGGCGGUAGGCCUAACACAUGCAAGUCGAACGGCAGCACCGUAAGAGCUUGCUCUUACGGGUGGCGAGUGGCGGACGGGUGAGGUAUACAUCGGAAUCUACUUUUUCGUGGGGGAUAACGUAGGGAAACUUACGCUAAUACCGCAUACGACCUACGGGGGAAGGCAGGGGAUCUUCUGACCUUGCGCGAUUGAAUGAGCCGAUGUCGGAUUAGCUAGUUGGCGGGGUAAAGGCCCACCAAGACGACGAUCCGUAGCUGGUCUGAGAGGAUGAUCAGCCACCCUGGAAGUGAGACAGGGUCCAGACUCCUACGGGAGGCAGCAGUGGGGAAUAUUGGGCAAUGGGCGCAAGCCUGAUCCAGCCAUACCGCGUGGGUGAAGAAGGCGUUCGGGUUGUAAAGCCCUUUUGUUGGGAAAGAAAAGCAGCAGGUUAAUACCCCGCUGUUCUGACGGUACCCAAAGAAGAAGCACCGGCUAACUUCGUG
rnacentral:rRNA from 1 species